rnacentral:rRNA from 1 species
GAUGAACGCUGGCGGCGUGCCUAAUACAUGCAAGUCGAGCGAACAGACGAGGAGCUUGCUCCUCUGACGUUAGCGGCGGACGGGUGAGUAACACGUGGAUAACCUACCUAUAAGACUGGGAUAACUUCGGGAAACCGGAGCUAAUACCGGAUAACAUGUUGAACCGCAUGGUUCAACAGUGAAAGACGGUUUUGCCGUCACUUAUAGAUGGAUCCGCGUCGCAUUAGCUAGUUGGUAAGGUAACGACUUACCAAGGCAUCGAUGCGUAGCCGACCUGAGAGGGUGAUCGGCCACACUGGAACUGAGACACGGUCCAGACUCCUACGGGAGGCAGCAGUAGGGAAUCUUCCGCAAUGGGCGAAAGCCUGACGGAGCAACGCCGCGUGAGUGAAGAAGGUCUUCGGAUCGUAAAACUCUGUUAUUAGGGAAGAACAAAUGUGUAAGUAACUAUGCACGUCUUGACGGUACCUAAUCAGAAAGCCACGGCUAACUACGUG